CCCCUCUCAGAAUCACAUCUGGGGAGUUUCCAGUACUCUACCACUCUCGACUUCAGGAGGGAGAGUCAAGAAGAGGCAUACCCAUUCCAUUUCUAGCUUGGGCAGUGGCUAGUAAGUGGAAGGCAAACUGCUACAAAU